CCUACGGGUGGCAGCAGUCGAGAAUCAUUCACAAUGGGGGAAACCCUGAUGGUGCGACGCCGCGUGGGGGAAUGAAGGUCCUCGGAUUGUAAACCCCUGUCAUGUGGGAGCAAAUUAAAAAGAUAGUACCACAAGAGGAAGAGACGGCUAACUCUGUGCCAGCAGCCGCGGUAAUACAGAGGUCUCAAGCGUUGUUCGGAAUCACUGGGCGGAAAGCGUGCGUAGGCUGUUUCGUAAGUCGUGUGUGAAAGGCGCGGGCUCAACCCGCGGACGGCACAUGAUACUGCGAGACUAGAGUAAUGGAGGGGGAACCGGAAUUCUCGGUGUAGCAGUGAAAUGCGUAGAUAUCGAGAGGAACACUCGUGGCGAAGGCGGGUUCCUGGACAUUAACUGACGCUGAGGCACGAAGGCCAGGGGAGCGAAAGGGAUUAGAUACCCUGGUAGUC
rnacentral:rRNA from 1 species